rnacentral:rRNA from 1 species
AGCAGCCGCGGUAAUUCCAGCUCCAAUAGCGUAUAUUAAAGUUGUUGCAGUUAAAAAGCUCGUAGUUGAAUUUCGGGACCAAUUUGUUGGUCGUGCCUCGGUACGUACUGGUAUUAUUGGUUUCCCCCUUCUGAAGAACCAUGAUGCCAUUAAUUUGGUGUCGUGGGGAAUCAGGACUGUUACUUUGAAAAAAUUAGAGUGUUUAAAGCAGGCAUACGCUUGAAUACAUUAGCAUGGAAUAAUGAAAUAGGACGUUUGAUUCUAUUUUGUUGGUUUCUAGGAUCGACGUAAUGAUUAAUAGGGAUAGUUGGGGGCAUUAGUAUUCAAUUGUCAGAGGUGAAAUUCUUGGAUUUAUUGAAGACUAACUACUGCGAAAGCAUUUGCCAAGGAUGUUUUCAUUAAUCAAGAACGAAAGUUAGGGGAUCGAAGACGAUCAGAUACCGUCGUAGUCUUAACCAUAAACUAUGCCGACUAGGGAUCGGAUGAUGUUAAUUUUAAUGACUCA